UACGUAGGGGGCAAGCGUUGUCCGGAAUUAUUGGGCGUAAAGCGCGCGCAGGCGGUUCUUUAAGUCUGAUGUGAAAUCUUGCGGCUCAACCGCAAGCGGUCAUUGGAAACUGGGGAACUUGAGUACAGAAGAGGAGAGUGGAAUUCCACGUGUAGCGGUGAAAUGCGUAGAUAUGUGGAGGAACACCAGUGGCGAAGGCGACUCUCUGGUCUGUAACUGACGCUGAGGUGCGAAAGCGUGGGGAG
rnacentral:rRNA from 1 species